rnacentral:rRNA from 1 species
AAGUAUAUGAGGUGAUUAAUUGGAGGGCAAAUCAAGUGCCAGCAGCCGCGGUAAUACUUGUUCCAAGAGUGUGUAUGAUGAUUGAUGCAGUUAAAAAGUCCGUAGUUUAUUUUUUUAAAACAUUAGGUGUAUGUAUGGAAAAAAGGACACAA